rnacentral:rRNA from 1 species
CCAAUAGCGUAUAUUAAAGUUGUUGCAGUUAAAAAGCUCGUAGUUGAAUUUCGGGACUAACAGAUUGGUCGUGCCUUUGGUGUGUACUGGUCUAGUUGGUUUCUCCCUUCUGACGAACCACGAUGUCAUUAAUUUGGUGUCGUGGGAAAUCAGGACUGUUACUUUGAAAAAAUUAGAGUGUUUAAAGCAAGCGUUAGCUUGAAUACGUUAGCAUGGAAUAAUGAAAUAGGACGUUUGACCCUAUUUUGUUGGUUUCGAGGAUCGACGUAAUGAUUAAUU